rnacentral:rRNA from 1 species
UACGAACUGUGCAAACGUUAUUCGGAAUCACUGGGCUUAAAGGGUGCGUAGGCGGCUUGUUAAGUAGGGUGUGAAAUCCCCCGGCUCAACCGGGGAAUUGCGCCCUAAACUGGCGAGCUGGAGUGAGAUAGGGGUGUGUGGAACUUCCAGUGGAGCGGUGAAAUGUGUUGAUAUUGGAAGGAACGCCAGUGGCGAAAGCGACACACUGGGUCUCAACUGACGCUGAGGCAACGAAAGCCAGGGGAGCAAACGGG